rnacentral:rRNA from 2 species
AGGCUUUGAUCCUGGCUCAGGAUGAACGCUGGCGGCGUGCUUCACACAUGCAAGUCGAGCGGAGUCAUUUAAAAGAAGUCUUCGGAUGGAAAAUAAAUGACUUAGCGGCGGACGGGUGAGUAACGCGUGGGCAACCUGCCCUGUACAGAGGGAUAACAUUGGGAAACCAGUGCUAAUACCUCAUACUCCCUUUAAGUGGCAUCACUAUAAGGGGAAAGAUUUAUCGGUACAGGAUGGGCCCGCGUCUGAUUAGUUAGUUGGUGAGGUAAUGGCUCACCAAGACGAUGAUCAGUAGCCGACCUGAGAGGGUGAUCGGCCACACUGGAACUGAGACACGGUCCAGACUCCUACGGGAGGCAGCAGUGGGGAAUAUUGCACAAUGGGGGAAACCCUGAUGCAGCAACGCCGCGUGAGCGAUGAAGGCCUUCGGGUCGUAAAGCUCUGUCCUAAGGGAAGAAAAAGACGGUACCUUAGGAGGAAGCCCCGGCUACCUA